GGGUUAAGAUGGCAAGUCUAUAUUGAGUGGGACCUCAUAUUGUAGCUGCUUCAGUAGAUGUAACAGUAGAUGUAUAGUUUUAGCAGGAGGAAUGCAGUGGGAGACAAGGUAAUAACAGUGUAGAUGUUACAGUAGAUGUAUAGUUUUAGCAGGAGGAAUGCAGUGGGAGACAAGGUAAUAACAGUGUAGAUGUUACAGUAGAUGUAUAGUUUUAGCAGGAGGAAUGCAGUGGGAGACAAGGUAAUAACAGUGUAGAUGUUACAGUAGAUGUAUAGUUUUAGCAGGAGGAAUGCAGUGGGAGACAAGGUAAUAACAGUGUAGAUGUUACAGUAGAUGUAUAGUUUUAGCAGGAGGAAUGCAGUGGGAGACAAGGUAAUAACAGUGUAGAUGUUACAGUAGAUGUAUAGUUUUAGCAGGAGGAAUGCAGUGGGAGACAAGGUAAUAACAGUGUAGAUGUUACAGUAGAUGUAUAGUUUUAGCAGGAGGAAUGCAGUGGGAGACAAGGUAAUAACAGUGUAGAUGUUACAGUAGAUGUAUAGUUUUAGCAGGAGGAAUGCAGUGGGAGACAAGGUAAUAACAGUGUAGAUGUUACAGUAGAUGUAUAGUUUUAGCAGGAGGAAUGCAGUGGGAGACAAGGUAAUAACAGUGUAGAUGUUACAGUAGAUGUAUAGUUUUAGCAGGAGGAAUGCAGUGGGAGACAAGGUAAUAACAGUGUAGAUGUUACAGUAGAUGUAUAGUUUUAGCAGGAGGAAUGCAGUGGGAGACAAGGUAAUAACAGUGUAGAUGUUACAGUAGAUGUAUAGUUUUAGCAGGAGGAAUGCAGUGGGAGACAAGGUAAUAACAGUGUAGAUGUUACAGUAGAUGUAUAGUUUUAGCAGGAGGAAUGCAGUGGGAGACAAGGUAAUAACAGUGUAGAUGUUACAGUAGAUGUAUAGUUUUAGCAGGAGGAAUGCAGUGGGAGACAAGGUAAUAACAGUGUAGAUGUUACAGUAGAUGUAUAGUUUUAGCAGGAGGAAUGCAGUGGGAGACAAGGUAAUAACAGUGUAGAUGUUACAGUAGAUGUAUAGUUUUAGCAGGAGGAAUGCAGUGGGAGACAAGGUAAUAACAGUGUAGAUGUUACAGUAGAUGUAUAGUUUUAGCAGGAGGAAUGCAGUGGGAGACAAGGUAAUAACAGUGUAGAUGUUACAGUAGAUGUAUAGUUUUAGCAGGAGGAAUGCAGUGGGAGACAAGGUAAUAACAGUGUAGAUGUUACAGUAGAUGUAUAGUUUUAGCAGGAGGAAUGCAGUGGGAGACAAGGUAAUAACAGUGUAGAUGUUACAGUAGAUGUAUAGUUUUAGCAGGAGGAAUGCAGUGGGAGACAAGGUAAUAACAGUGUAGAUGUUACAGUAGAUGUAUAGUUUUAGCAGGAGGAAUGCAGUGGGAGACAAGGUAAUAACAGUGUAGAUGUUACAGUAGAUGUAUAGUUUUAGCAGGAGGAAUGCAGUGGGAGACAAGGUAAUAACAGUGUAGAUGUUACAGUAGAUGUAUAGUUUUAGCAGGAGGAAUGCAGUGGGAGACAAGGUAAUAACAGUGUAGAUGUUACAGUAGAUGUAUAGUUUUAGCAGGAGGAAUGCAGUGGGAGACAAGGUAAUAACAGUGUAGAUGUUACAGUAGAUGUAUAGUUUUAGCAGGAGGAAUGCAGUGGGAGACAAGGUAAUAACAGUGUAGAUGUUACAGUAGAUGUAUAGUUUUAGCAGGAGGAAUGCAGUGGGAGACAAGGUAAUAACAGUGUAGAUGUUACAGUAGAUGUAUAGUUUUAGCAGGAGGAAUGCAGUGGGAGACAAGGUAAUAACAGUGUAGAUGUUACAGUAGCACCGGUGCUGUAGUUGAUCUAACUAGAGUUUUAAUGUUUCUACUGUGCAACAAAGGUGUGCAACGUAUUAUCAGAGUAUAUACUAACCACACCAGACUUGGGCUGUUUGAGUUAUUAUUUUGACCGUGUUGAAAUCCCAAGGGAAUAUCCUGAACGGUAGAGAGAGAGAGAGAGAGAGAGAGAGCUAUGGUGAACUACAGUAUCCAUCCCAACACACCUCUAGUAAGUAACAAGUCGUUAGAUUCCGAUCUCCUUUACUGUUCAAAGCCAUCAAUCCCUGGACAUAACGACCUGAGGAUCGUAGACCACGAAUGAUUAUGAUGAUGGUCACCAUCAUUAAAGUCUCAGGCAACGUAAGGUCGUUCACUGGCUGAUGAAGUGUCUGUGUUGCAAUUGGCUGGUCUACAACUGGAGUGACCGCUGUGUUGCAAUUGUCUGGUGUAGAACAGGAAGCAGGAAGCAUAGCCUUUGCUGGACAGCUUUUCACUCUAACAUUUGCUAUUUUACUGUGCUGCCACCGUGUCCUCAGUGUUUGGUGUUUGUUUUUGGCUUCGCAAAUGCUGCUCAUGUCAGAUGUUAAUCCACAUCUGGGCAAAAUAAGGUAUUUUUCUUCAUGAGCAUUUGCAAUGACAAUGAUAUAACUAACUGAUGUGACCUGAUGUUCAGAUAUACACAUGCUAUUGAGAGGUAAUGACACUUACUGCCUAUGAAGACGCUUAUGGAAGAACACGAUACAAAACAACAGCAAAUUCAUGUUUUUAUAUUGUACAUAAUGAUACUGUGUAGAUUUUCUUGUGUAUGUAUGUGAAAUGCAUUUUAUUCCAUUUCUUUCCCAAACUACUCAGUGGCAAAAAUAUAUGUUCUUUUUCCAACUAGAUUUCAGUUACAUUUUACAAUGGCAGGUCGGAGACAGCUUUCGGCAUGUACCUUGCAGGAGUAUAGUAAGCUAGUAGGCUGAAUGGAAACCAACCAACACAUGCUAAUCCACGAUUCUCUCACAUCUCACCCAGUGUCUUUCACUCACAGACAGAUUCCAAAGGGCCUCCCACUCACUCACUCAGUCACCUACCACAGAUGAGGGACACAUUGUCCCCUGCCUGUCCCUGUCCCUCCCUGUCACACCUGCUAUUUCCCUAUGGGGCCCAGUCCAGGGACCCAGGGCAUGCAUCACUCUGCUGUAUCAUGGCACCUGAUCAUCAGCAGCAGCUUCCUUCCCUUCUCUCAAUA